rnacentral:lncRNA from 1 species
AGCAGAAUUGGACGGUCCGUGAAAUGUCCAAACUCACACCGAAGGAGGAAGAGGAGGUGAGCGGCGGCAAGGACAACUCCGGUGACGAGCAGAUCCAGUUCGAUCUGUACUACGUCUUCGACUAGUACUUCCGUGACAAGGAUGACAAGGGCGCUAGAAAGGACAAGGGAAGUCGUGGAUGAUAGGUUGAAUAACCCAAAAUAUCAAUCUUUACUGGAUUAUUCCAAAACAAACCAAUACCACCGCUCCUACCUUGACUACUCACAACAUAGGAAUUGUCAAAACCAAUCGUUCUAGCUAAAGAUUCUACCCUUGUGCUCUCUAGCUGUGUUUCAACAAUGCAUAACAAGAUAGGGGCAACCUGCCUCGCAAAGUCGCUAAGCUCUCGAGAACUGUCACAGACUUGCCCGCUUCACGACAGUUUCAACACAAGAUAUUCAUUGGCCCCGGCGGAGCUCCUCGAAAGAGCCCGCCAAAGAUGAGACAGUCUUGCCAAGACUGCCACUUUUCUCCACCUCCUCCUCCUGUGAAGCUGCAACUAUUCGGGCCCUCUUCUGCUCCUGCUUGCUGCUUGGACUAUGGGGAACCGAAGAGGUGGGGGAAGCGCU